rnacentral:tRNA from 1 species
GUCUGGGUGGCUCAGUUGGUUAAGCACCUGCCUUCAGCUCAGGUCAUGAUCCCAGAGUCCUGGGAUCAAGUCCCACCUCGGGCU